rnacentral:rRNA from 1 species
ACUCAAAGGAAUUGACGGGGACCCGCACAAGCAGUGGAGUAUGUGGUUUAAUUCGACGCAACGCGAAGAACCUUACCGAGGCUUGACAUUGCAGUGACAGAGGCAGAGAUGUCUUCUCCCUUCGGGGCACUGUAACAGGUGGUGCAUGGUUGUCGUCAGCUCGUGUCGUGAGAUGUUAGGUUAAGUCCUGCAACGAGCGCAACCCUUGUCAUUAGUUGCCAGCAUGUUAAGAUGGGCACUCUAAUGAGACCGCCGGUGAUAAAUCGGAGGAAGGUGGGGACGACGUCAAAUCAUCAUGCCCCUUAUGUCUCGGGCUACACACGUACUACAAUGGCUAUUACAACAGGCAGCUAAGGAGCAAUCCGGAGCAAAUCCCAAAAGAUAGUCCCAGUUCGGAUUGCGGGCUGAAACUCGCCCGCAUGAAGUCGGAAUUGCUAGUAAUUGCAGGUCAGCAUACUGCAGUGAAUACGUUCCCGGGUCUUGUACACACCGCCCGU